rnacentral:tRNA from 1 species
GCCGGCGUGGCGCAACGGUAGCGCAGCUCCUUCGUAAGGAGACGGUUGUGGGUUCAAGUCCUGUCGCCGGCACCA